UUCAAAAAAUUCCACCGAAACGCGAGACCUUUUCGGGUCGGGGACUGAUUGGCAGCUGCAUUGAGCAAUCUGCACGAAAUCCUGCGUGACGUUUUACCCGAGGCGUGACUGGGUGUUUCUGCUAUUUUGAGAAUCGCAGGCAAGGUGUGAUCCCUCACCUGAGAAUUCGACAACUUUGUCAACUUCUGCCAGUAGCUCCAGCAUGGGGGACAUUGCGAAGGGUAAGAAGGUGUUCAUGCAGAAGUGCGCACAGUGUCACACGGUGGACGAAGGUGGUAAGCACAAGGUGGGGCCAAACCUGCAUGGCCUGUUCGGCCGCAAAACUGGCCAGUCCCCUGGAUACUCCUACACCCAGGCCAACAUCGACAAAGGUAUAAUCUGGAAUGAGAAGACACUGAUGCUGUACCUGCAGAACCCUAAAAAGUACAUUCCCGGAACCAAGAUGAUCUUUGCCGGCAUCAGGAAGAAGAAGGAGAGGGAGAGCCUGGUUGCUUACCUGAAAAAAGCCAGCUCCUCUUAGAGGCUGUGACUCCACCCCUUACCUGACCGCACACCGGAGGGGGAAUUCAGACUCACCCCUUACCUGACCAUACACCUGAGGGGGAUUCAGACCUCACCCCUUACCUGACCAUACACCUGAGGGGGAUUCAGACCUCACCCCUUACCUGACCGCACACUGGAGGGGGAUUCAGACUUCACCCCUUACCUGACCAUACACCUGAGGGGGAUUCAGACCUCACCCCUUACCUGACCACACACCUGAGGGGGAUUCAGACUCCUCCCCUUACCUCACCCCUUACCUGAGGGGGGAUUCAGACUCCUCCCCUUAUCUCAGCACACACCUGAGGGGGAUUCAGACUCCACCUCUUACCUGAGGGGGGAUUCAGACUCCUCCCCUUACCUGAGGGGGGAUUCAGACUCCUCCCCUUACCUCACCCCUUACCUGAGGGGGGAUUCAGACUCCUCCCCUUAUCUCAGCACACACCUGAGGGGGAUUCAGACUCCACCUCUUACCUGAGGGGGGAUUCAGACUCCUCCCCUUAUCUCAGCACACACUUAAGCGGGUGGUUAUUUACAUCUACACUUGAAAUAUCCCUUAUUUAUUUUAUAAGGGAACAAACGAUUUUAAAAAUGAUGUUCAAUACACAAGCUGAUUUUAAUAUUGUUGUAUUUUUUAAUUAAAAGAAAAAAAAAAUUUUGAACCA